UUUAUUGUAAACAGAAGACAGAGGGUCGGUCCUUCACACUGAAUGCCUACAUUAGGCUUUAGAGUGAGGAGGCGUGUCUCUCAGUAAUCCAAUCUGAUUGGCUGGCAGGAAGCUGCUGGCUACAGCAAGUUUGUAUGUGACCUGAGGGAAUGCAGUUUUGGCCUCAGA